rnacentral:rRNA from 1 species
GACGAACGCUGGCGGCGUGCUUAACACAUGCAAGUCGAACGGAAAGGCCCUGCUUUUGUGGGGUGCUCGAGUGGCGAACGGGUGAGUAACACGUGAGUAACCUGCCCUUGACUUUGGGAUAACUUCAGGAAACUGGGGCUAAUACCGGAUAGGAGCUCCUGCUGCAUGGUGGGGGUUGGAAAGUUUCGGCGGUUGGGGAUGGACUCGCGGCUUAUCAGCUUGUUGGGGGGGUAGUGGCUUACCAAGGCUUUGACGGGUAGCCGGCCUGAGAGGGUGACCGGCCACAUUGGGACUGCGAUACGGCCCAAACUCCUACGGGAGGCAGCAGUCGGGGAUAUUGCACGAGGGGCGGAAGCCUGAUGCAGCAACGCCGCGUGCGGGGUGGCGGCCUUCGGGUUGUAAACCGCUUUCGCCUGUGACGAAGCGUGAGUGACGGUAAUGGGUAAAGAAGCACCGGCUAACUACGUG